CCUACGGGUGGCUGCAGUGGGGAAUAUUGCACAAUGGGGGGAACCCUGAUGCAGCAAUGCCGCGUGAAGGAUGAAGGUUUUCGGAUUGUAAACUUCUUUUGUACGGGACGAAGAAAGUGACGGUACCGUAAGAAUAAGCCACGGCUAACUACGUGCCAGCAGCCGCGGUAAUACGUAGGUGGCAAGCGUUAUCCGGAUUUACUGGGUGGAAAGGGCGUGUAGCCGGGAAGGCAAGUCAGAUGUGAAAUCUUGAGGCUCAACCUCCAAAUUGCAUUUGAAACUGUUUUUCUUGAGUACUGGGGAGGCAGACGGAAUUCCUGGUGUAGCGGUGAAAUGCGUAGAUAUAAGGAGGAACACCAGUGGCGAAGGCGGUCUGCUGGACAGCAACUGACGGUGAGGCGCGAAAGCGUGGGGAGCAAACAGGAUUAGAUACCCCUGUAGUC
rnacentral:rRNA from 1 species